UGGCGGCUGGACCUGGAGCUCAGGGACGUGAGACUUGACUUGGAUCUCAGGGACGUGAGACUUGACUUGGACUUGGACCUUUUGUUGGAGCUCGGCGGGUGAGCCCACCUCGUGGGGCUCAGGUUCGAGCUCUGAGGUCACCCUGUCGGUCCCGGGCUGGGUCUCUGCACGGGCUCUCCGGUGGAGUUUCUUAUGCUCCCGCCAGCUGCUCUUGAAGCAUUCCUGAGAGCAGAAGAAAGCUUCCUGGAGGCCCAGCUUCCUGCAAGUGGGACAUUGAAGCUGAGUCUCUCUCCCGCAGCCCUCAGUCAUACAUC
ensembl:lncRNA